CUGAAUGUACCUCCAGCCACAUAGCAGCUGGGCUGGGAGCCUGACAUACGUGGCCCCUGAGGAAAGAUGGCGUCGUAGGCACAGCGGGCAGGGCAGGGGCUCUUUUCUUCUGAGGCAGUUUGUGAAAGUUCUGUAGUUCAGCCUGGGCUUCUGGGAAGUCAGGAUAUGCUGCACAGAUUGUUGAGGGAAAGGAAUCUGACUCUUUACUCUUCGUUUUCUUCCCUGUGUGCAAAGUUCAGAAUCCAGUUUUCAUCCACAUAGCUUCUGGGGUCGUAGUGGACCACUGGCUUCACUUUGGAGUUCUCAAAAUACCUCUGACAACCAGCUUAGUGGCCAUGAGGACGACUUGUGCUGUCUUUCCAUUUCCUUCCUCCCUUUGCACACCCCAAACCUCCUGCCUGAUGAAAUCUCCCCCGGACUGCGAGUGAGGAGAAAGUCACACAAUAGUAGAGAUGAAAAAUAGCUGCCAUGUAUUUAGCUUAAAUUAGCUCAAAAGAACAGCCCCCUCCCUCCACAGAGUAGGCAGCAAUUGUUUAUGGCAACGUGCUAUUUGCAUUGUGGCUUCUUAGAUUUGAAAGUCUAAUGAUUAAAUACAAAUCUUAGUUUUUCUUUCUUCUUACAACUUAAAAAAAAAAACAAUACCAGCUUGGCUAGUUCUUCUCUUUUAAAAAUACCCUGAACUUCUGUGCUAGAGGGAGGGUUUGAGACACACUGGAGACAGGACACUGGAGAGAAAUUGUGGUCUGCAAUAACCAGAGUAGUGGGCGAUGUACUGGUAUGGGUGGGAGGGAGCUCUGUGUCCUCAUGCGGAUGGCAGUGUCCAAGGUGAGAGUUCUGUGGGUGUAUUUCUCUUGCAGCCAUUCAUUCAUUGGGUGAUUUAGUAAGUACCUACUCUGAAUUCAGUGAUGAGUGAUACAAAGCCUCUGAGGCUCAGAGCCUGAGGCGGGAGAGAGAUAAGAAACAGCCAACCACAAAUGUACACAUUUGCAAUGCACAUAGAUCUACAAAAAGAAAACUCAUAAGAGGACAGUGGGAAAGGGGGUCUGCUGGCCAAGUCUUUGGGAAGAGGUGACAUUUAAAUGAAGAUCUAAAGAAAGAGAACGAGGAAGGGAUGAUGAUUGUAAGCCAGGAUUUCACAACCUCAGCACCGUUGACCCAGGGCCCAGAUAUUUCUCUAUGGCGGGGACUGUCUUGGUCAUUGUAGGAUAUCGAACAGCAACCCUGGCCAUCAUCUUUCCAAUGCUAGUGGCCUCCCCUGUCCCCUGUGUGACAUCCAGACCCAUGUGCAGACAUUGCCUGAGGUCCUUGGGUUGUCUCUUUGGCCACACUACUAGGACUGGAAUCCAGCGAUGUGCCACCUGCAGCUUUGGAGAAAGAGGAAAACUCAAAGAGGGGGCACCUGGAGUGAGGAGGGCACCAAGCUCCAUAGUGUGAGGGCCACAUCAGCCAGGAGAAUGUGGCUACAGCAAGGGCCAAGUCCCCCAGGCAUCACCCCCAACAUGGGCAUCCUAGGAAGGAACUCUUCUUAGUCAACUCAAACCCUAAGACGUGUGCUAGGCAACCAUAGUGCUGCUCUCUGGAGCUCCUCAGGGACGUUUCCCCAGCUUCCCCAGGAAGGAGAGCCCCUAGAUAGUUCAGAGCCUUUCCCACCUUCUUACCAAUUUCCAGUUAGCUAUGGAGAAGAAAUUCAGCCCAGGCCACCAGCACUGCCUCCGGUGGAGAUAAAGCCACAAAAUACACCAUCUGGACCAGAUGUACAGCUCCAUCCUCUCCCACGUGGCUGACCUGGAGGUGGAGGCAGGUGGUGGGUGUGGGUCAUCUCUAAAGGCCCUGCUGUGACACCCCUAGAAUCAGACCCCAGAGGAGUCAGUGGGCCCAAGACUGGGGGUAGGGGGGAGCUGGGUAUUGAAAGGGCUGGGCUUGGAAAGUUGCUUUGGGAACUGGGGACAGCCAAGCCCCUUCCAAGAAGGAGGCUGGUCGGCUGGAGCCCUGAUGAGGCCAACCUCUCCCUCCCCUCCCCAGCCUGCCCCAGGUAGGGUACUGGACAAUUAACACUUAUGUGCAUCUUGGACAAUUAAUGCAAUGCAUUGGUCCUCGCAAUCCUAGCCGUUUCCUUCUUUAUUUUUCUACCUGUAUUGCAAAUAAUACCACUAGAAUAAUUUUUUUAAAUGGGUACAUAUGAACUUGUGUAAGUUCAAGAAACUGCUAUGUAGCUACAGUGUAGACACCAGGGUACUCCAAUGUACUUGUCCCAGGACCUCCACCCUGGUCCCCUAGCCCCACCCCCAAUCAGCCUCCUGAGGAGAGCUGCGUGGUCCCUGUAAGGCCGGGUAGCACUGGCCGAAUGGGCCCACAGAGAAGGGGACACAGCUAGUGUGGGUGCCUUCGGCUAAGCCCAAGCACAAUCAUGAGGUGCAUGCAUCUCUUUCCCACCUCUCCUUCCUCCUCCCAGCAGUCAUUUCUUGCCAGUUUGGUCACCAGGAAUAAAUCCUCCUAAAGCCCCCAGCCUCAGGGCCCAGACCCUGGGUGCCCCAUCGUAUUUCAGGCCCAGUGUCUCAUCCCACUUCUUCUCAUCCCACUGCUGCCCUUGACCAGCCCCCAACAGCUGGCCCGAGUCCCAAGAGGGAUGCCUGUGGGCCCUGGUCUCUUAGUCCCACCCUAGCUCCUUUCGUUGGCCUGUUGGUGCAUGGAAGAACACUAAGAAAAUCUUCCCCAUGUUCCAAAAGCGAAUGUCCCCAGCCACAAUUACUGCGUCAUCUGCAGAGCCCAGCACCAAGCAACCCCAUCCCUUCCCCAAGACUUAAUUUCAUGGAGUCAAUCAAUACAUGGUGAUUAAGUGCCUCGUGUGGAGCUAGGAAAAUGCAGAAGGAAGGGGUCCCUUGCCUUCAGGGUCCCUGGGCCCAGAGCUCCAGUUAGAGGAGCUUCAGUGGGAUUAUCAAGCCCCUAAGGAGCUCCCAUCCUCCAGAAAAAGGCCCUUGAGGAAGCCUUUUCCGAGGAGGAGACUUCUGAACAUCAUGUGAAAUGUGAGCAGAAUAGAAAUGGAAAGUAGGGAACAAUGUGCCAGGUGGAAGGAACAGCCUAUGUGCAGACUCAAGGACAAGAGCAGCAUUUAUUGACAUUUGCUGUUCCCUGCUUUCCCCAAGCUAGAUGCUGAGCCCUGGAAGUCUCCAUCCCCAAGUGGAAAAUGCCCAGGUCCAGACCUGGAGGCCUUGCCUUCUCUCCCCAGCGUGCUCUGAUGUCUACUCUUAGCCUCUUAGCCUCAGUGCCCUGGGUGGCAGAUGUCCAAGGGAGGGUUGGGACGAUUCCUAGGCCAUCUGAGAUAUUCUCUGCAUCUCUCGGUGGCCCUGCCAGCUGCUCUUUGACACCCACACCUACAUCUGCAUGAUGGAGGCUGUGUGACUGUUUUCUGGUGCCCUGUGUUACUUGUGCUGUCCGGGCACAUCCUUGCUAGAGCGGGUCUGCCACCAGCCCUACUUUCUGAAGCUCUUUCUCCUCUGUCGCUUCCUGUGUCAGCUUGUGACCUGCCUGAGUUCCCUGAGACCCACACAUCUGUCUUGCCACACUGGAAAGACCCCCACCCACCCCACAGUGUCACCAUGGUCCCUUUCCUGGACCCUUUGUGUUUGUCUGUGCUGGGCCACUGGAGGGCUGAGGUCAAGGACAUGCAGGAACACAGAAAUGGUCCCCACACACAAACGGUCUUGCUAGUCUGUUUUAGAAGUGGCUAAAAAAGACCCAGGAGUCAUCGUGAGCCGCUGGCCAAGUCUGCAGUACAGCCUGAGGCAGGGGAGGAUGUAUCAACUCUCAAUGGAAUAGGGGACCUGCUGUUCCUUUAGAUCUGCAUCAGAGCUUGAAGGAUUGGAAACAGAGCCUUCACGGACUCCAGGGCGUGUGUGGUUUCUGUGAAUUAGCCAGGCUUGUUUACCUGUUUGAACUUGACUCAGCUCACAAUUCCCAAGCCUCUCCCUGGUGUGGACAAUGAUCUCACCAACAACUUCUCAGCAUCUGCAGCACCUUUAGCGUAGUCCUUGGAUUCUUUUGGUUUCUGUGCACUUAGUAUACCGCUAACCUUCGAGUUUGCUCAGGACAGUAAAUGAAAAAAUGAAUGUCGGCAGCAUCACACAAUACCAGGCGCACAGUAGGUGCUCAAAAUAAGUGUGGCUUCUCAAUCACCCAACUGAAUCUCUCCUCCACCCCAAAUCCCAUCCUGAAAAACCAGGGGACCAGAAGAGACAGGCGGUGGGUGUUACCCAUUGGCUUAAUGGAGCAUGGGGAGAGAUGCUGGGUCUCAUAAGGACGACCCCACCCCAGCUCAGCAUCUGUAAGGCGAGGCUCUGUCUUAGGGAACUGGGGAGUCCUGGUGACACCACCCCUGCCCUCAACACCCUCACAGAAGCAGGGCUUUUCUCAUGCAGGCUCCAAGGGGAGAACUUGCAGGUUCAGUGGGACAGACAGGGCUGGUGCAGCCAGGUGAGUGCCUUGCUCAGGGCAGGGCCAGGCAGACCUGCGCCCCCACAAGGGUGGUCCCUGUGCCCACCUCCCAUUCCUCUCUCCUGAUCUCCGAUCUUUCGCCAGGGUCCGCUCCACAGACUUAUCGCAUGAUUCAUUUGGUUGAUUACUCUUGAAGUUACCGACCUUAGAAAAUUCCUCAAUUGUAAAAAGGCUUUCUCUCUGUGUAAAUGAUGCUGUUACCUUUUUCUAUACACAAAGUAUAUAUACCUAUAAAUAUUAUACAUAUAUAUUAUAUAUAUAAAGACUGAUUCUUGUACAGACCCAUGAGGACCGAUGGUCCACUUUGUUGUCUCCAUGUCUGUCUGUGCUGACUGUCGCAGAAUGAGCUGAUGUAUGAAACCCAUUCCACAUUUCCCUUCUGGGGCUGCUUCUUUCCUCUUUCUUUUCCCUUUGUAACUCUGUCUCUCUGGGUCUCUGUCUCUCUUUCUCACUCACUUGUUGCCAAUGUCUCGCUGCUGAGAAAGAAUAUUUGAUUCAAUGCCAUCCAGGAAGGGAGAGCCGGAUGGAGGGAGGGAGGGUCCACUGUAUAUAUUUGUACAGACUCAUUUAUAAAGUUUUCUACACUUCUCAAAAAAGUAUUUCUAUCUUGGGCUGUUGGACAGUUUGUGAGCCUCUGAGCCGGCAAGCCUAUUGUUUCUUGUGUUUAGUGCAAUGUUUAGUGAGAAUCCAAUGUCUGAAUUAUUUAUGCCAAUAAAGAAUUUGAGAAUUAC
ensembl:lncRNA